rnacentral:rRNA from 1 species
UACGUAGGGUGCAAGCGUUGUCCGGAAUUAUUGGGCGUAAAGAGCUCGUAGGCGGUUUGUCGCGUCUGCUGUGAAAACUCGGGGCUUAACUCCGGGCCUGCAGUGGGUACGGGCAGACUAGAGUGCGGUAGGGGAGACUGGAAUUCCUGGUGUAAUGGUGAUAUGCGUAGAUAUCGGGAGGAACACCUGUGGCGAAGGCGGCUUUCUGGGCCUUACCUGACGCUGAGACGCGAAAGCGUGGGGAGCGAACCGG